rnacentral:scRNA from 1 species
UUCGGUCCCUUCCGAAGAGGGGCCUCAACAAC